rnacentral:rRNA from 1 species
GCCUAACAGCUAGCCCGACCCCCUAAAUACAAUAGAACCUCUUCAAUUAACCCCACACACAGUAAAAAUACAAAACAAACCAUUUUUCCAUCCUAGUAUAGGAGAUAGAAAAGAACCUAGGAGCAAUAGAGAUAGUACCGCAAGGGAAAGCUGAAAGAGAAAUGAAAUAAUCCAGAAAAGCCUAAAGAAGCAAAGACUAACCCUUGUACCUUGG